rnacentral:rRNA from 2 species
AGCGUACACGGUGGAUGCCCUGGCAGUCAGAGGCGAUGAAGGACGUGCUAAUCUGCGAAAAGCGUCGGUAAGGUGAUAUGAACCGUUAUAACCGGCGAUGUCCGAAUGGGGAAACCCAGUGCAAUUCGUUGCACUAUCGUUAACUGAAUACAUAGGUUAACGAGGCGAACCGGGGGAACUGAAACAUCUAAGUACCCCGAGGAAAAGAAAUCAACCGAGAUUCCCCCAGUAGCGGCGAGCGAACGGGGAGCAGCCCAGAGUCUGAAUCAGCUUGUGUGUUAGUGGAACGGUCUGGAAAGUCCGACGGUACAGGGUGAUAGUCCCGUACACCAAAAUGCACAGGCUGUGAACUCGAAGAGUAGGGCGGGACACGUGGUAUCCUGUCUGAAUAUGGGGGGACCAUCCUCCAAGGCUAAAUACUCCUGACUGACCGAUAGUGAACCAGUACCGUGAGGGAAAGGCGAAAAGAACCCCGGCGAGGGGAGUGAAAAAGAACCUGAAACCGUGUACGUACAAGCAGUGGGAGCACCUUCGGGUGUGACUGCGUACCUUUUGUAUAAUGGGUCAGCGACUUAUAUUCUGUAGCAAGGUUAACCGUAUAGGGGAGCCGCAGGGAAACCGAGUCUUAACUGGGCGUUAAGUUGCAGGGUAUAGACCCGAAACCCGGUGAUCUAGCCAUGGGCAGGUUGAAGGUUGGGUAACACUAACUGGAGGACCGAACCGACUAAUGUUGAAAAAUUAGCGGAUGACUUGUGGCUGGGGGUGAAAGGCCAAUCAAACCGGGAGAUAGCUGGUUCUCCCCGAAAGCUAUUUAGGUAGCGCCUCGUGAAUUCAUCUUCGGGGGUAGAGCACUGUUUCGGCUAGGGGGUCAUCCCGACUUACCAACCCGAUGCAAACUACGAAUACCGAAGAAUGUUAUCACGGGAGACACACGGCGGGUGCUAACGUCCGUCGUGAAGAGGGAAACAACCCAGACCGCCAGCUAAGGUCCCAAAGUCAUGGUUAAGUGGGAAACGAUGUGGGAAGGCACAGACAGCCAGGAUGUUGGCUUAGAAGCAGCCAUCAUUUAAAGAAAGCGUAAUAGCUCACUGGUCGAGUCGGCCUGCGCGGAAGAUGUAACGGGGCUAAACCAUGCACCGAAGCUGCGGCAGCGACACUAUGUGUUGUUGGGUAGGGGAGCGUUCUGUAAGCCUGCGAAGGUGUGCUGUGAGGCAUGCUGGAGGUAUCAGAAGUGCGAAUGCUGACAUAAGUAACGAUAAAGCGGGUGAAAAGCCCGCUCGCCGGAAGACCAAGGGUUCCUGUCCAACGUUAAUCGGGGCAGGGUGAGUCGACCCCUAAGGCGAGGCCGAAAGGCGUAGUCGAUGGGAAACAGGUUAAUAUUCCUGUACUUGGUGUUACUGCGAAGGGGGGACGGAGAAGGCUAUGUUAGCCGGGCGACGGUUGUCCCGGUUUAAGCAUGUAGGCUGGUUGUCCAGGCAAAUCCGGAUAAUCAAGGCUGAGGUGUGAUGACGAGGCACUACGGUGCUGAAGUAACAAAUGCCCUGCUUCCAGGAAAAGCCUCUAAGCAUCAGGUAACAUCAAAUCGUACCCCAAACCGACACAGGUGGUCAGGUAGAGAAUACCAAGGCGCUUGAGAGAACUCGGGUGAAGGAACUAGGCAAAAUGGUGCCGUAACUUCGGGAGAAGGCACGCUGGUGUGUAGGUGAAGUCCCUGCGGAUGGAGCUGAGACCAGUCGAAGAUACCAGCUGGCUGCAACUGUUUAUUAAAAACACAGCACUGUGCAAACACGAAAGUGGACGUAUACGGUGUGACGCCUGCCCGGUGCCGGAAGGUUAAUUGAUGGGGUUAUCCGUAAGGAGAAGCUCUUGAUCGAAGCCCCGGUAAACGGCGGCCGUAACUAUAACGGUCCUAAGGUAGCGAAAUUCCUUGUCGGGUAAGUUCCGACCUGCACGAAUGGCGUAAUGAUGGCCAGGCUGUCUCCACCCGAGACUCAGUGAAAUUGAACUCGCUGUGAAGAUGCAGUGUACCCGCGGCAAGACGGAAAGACCCCGUGAACCUUUACUAUAGCUUGACACUGAACAUUGAGCCUUGAUGUGUAGGAUAGGUGGGAGGCUUUGAAGCGUGGACGCCAGUCUGCGUGGAGCCAACCUUGAAAUACCACCCUUUAAUGUUUGAUGUUCUAACGUUGGCCCCUUACCGGGGUUGCGGACAGUGUCUGGUGGGUAGUUUGACUGGGGCGGUCUCCUCCCAAAGCGUAACGGAGGAGCACGAAGGUUAGCUAAUCCUGGUCGGACAUCAGGAGGUUAGUGCAAUGGCAUAAGCUAGCUUGACUGCGAGCGUGACGGCGCGAGCAGGUGCGAAAGCAGGUCAUAGUGAUCCGGUGGUUCUGAAUGGAAGGGCCAUCGCUCAACGGAUAAAAGGUACUCCGGGGAUAACAGGCUGAUACCGCCCAAGAGUUCAUAUCGACGGCGGUGUUUGGCACCUCGAUGUCGGCUCAUCACAUCCUGGGGCUGAAGUAGGUCCCAAGGGUAUGGCUGUUCGCCAUUUAAAGUGGUACGCGAGCUGGGUUUAGAACGUCGUGAGACAGUUCGGUCCCUAUCUGCCGUGGGCGCUGGAGAAUUGAGGGGGGCUGCUCCUAGUACGAGAGGACCGGAGUGGACGCAUCACUGGUGUUCGGGUUGUCAUGCCAAUGGCACUGCCCGGUAGCUAAAUGCGGAAGAGAUAAGUGCUGAAAGCAUCUAAGCACGAAACUUGCCCCGAGAUGAGUUCU